GGACGACGAUGUCCGUUUUCCUGCCAAAACGGACGAAAAACGAACGAAACGGACGUCCGUUUGGGUCGUGCGUUGGAGUUGGCCUCACUCAGCAAACACAUAUCACUUUCUGCAUUUAUUUCCUCCUCUCCGUAUAGCCUGCUCUUCCCGUACCUGAUGCCGGAUCCAAGCACCCACGAGCACAGGUUGUAGAAAUCGUGCAGCAUCCUCUGAAUGUUCUGCCAGUGCAGGGGGUUCGAUCUGGGGGUGCUCUGCCACUCGGAAUCUGCACUCACAACAGUUCAAUGUAUGUUCAGAAAAUUGACGUUAGCUGCAUCAGAAAUUCAGAAAGUACGAGCCGCAGCUUCCUUCGCACACGCGUCCACCGAGCAGCUGUCAUCCGUCGGGGCCCCUGUUUCUUCAUCGCCACCAUUGCCGCGCACACGGCCGCCUCACCGCAAUCGCCGUCAAUCGACGGCACUGGGAACCUGCUCACCAACAAUAACCUAUCAACCCACGAAGCCAAUCUGAGCAUACAGCCUAGGCCAGUGGGAAAUCAAGUCGAAAAUCUUACCUAUCGACCCGAUCUGAUAGGAACUCGAAGCCUCCCGUCAUCCUGCCCGCUGACUUCAUUUGCUGGAAUUUUUCCUGGGCGUCGUCUCUGUUCGAGUCCACGCAGGAGGGCGGGGACAGCGGUGCCUACAACCCCAUCCUCGCAAGCGGACGGCCGGCACCGUUGCCUGUUGACUGUUCGGAGUUCGCCGCCGACAAUCUGAUGUUCCCGCAAACGCCGUUCAGGUCUACUCGGAGCCUGGCCGUCGGUCGCCCAACUCACCAAUGUUGAACUGGCCUACUGCAUCUAGCAGACCUAGAGCGGGCUGUGCCGGUGGCGCGUAGUCACCACCUGCUAACGCCCGCACAGGGAACCUAGCCAACGGGAGAACGCUCCCUGAGAUUCAUGAUCCACCGUCAAUGGAAAUCAAACGAGGGCAAUAAGCAUACCGAUCGACUGGAUCUGCUAAGAACUCGAACCCAUCCCCCACCGUCUCCAUCGUCAACCCUCUCAAGCCGCGCACCGAAACCGGAGGAAUAGUUUCUUAGAAUAGCAGGUACCCUUCUCGUUGGAGCCCAGUUGCCGCUUGCCAGUACUAUAUUUUCUUAUUUUUUCCACCUCAAACGCCGUUUGUGAAAGCCGGUAAACGGAGCUCCGGUUAUCCUGUACAGAUGGGCCAUCAUCACCCAGUUACGUCCUCCGUCAACACGUCAGGCGGACCCAUUCCUGUACAUGCGGCAGUAUUUCUACCAUCCAUAAAUGCAGAUGAAACGUGAGGCUGCACCAUUGGUCCAUAUAACGGGAGUAGGCGAGCUCGUGCGCUCUUUCGCCACUCUCGGUAGAUAUAUAUAUACUAGCACAUAUGACGAUGCGUUGUAACGGGGUAAUAAAGACAUAGACAUUAUUUUAUUGGCAAACUUGAUGACAAUACCUGUAUGAAUUUCAUACAACUUUUACUAAUAUAUCUUUAGCUAAAUAGAAAAUGCAUAUAACAUUAACAUCUUUCAAUACUGCAAGGUUUGGGAAGUGACGUGCAAAUUUAUGUGAAUGACUUUUUAUGAAUUGAAGUAGCUAAGGAUUAAUAAUGGGAAAUUUAUAAAAAACAUAUCUUCUGUUCUGAGCAAUCAUGAAUAAUUUACACUGAAAUUAGUUGAUGUCAGAUUUGCAAGCGGCCUAAAAAGCAGCCUAAUGCCUCAUGCGUAUUGUUGCUCAAGUGAACAAUGCACAAAUUCUUUACUUUCGCCGAAUUCCAUUUGAUCAUGUACAAGCAAGGCACAUCUGAUAUUACUCAAGCAUAGGUUCAACAAUAUUGUUUAUUUAAUGUUUAUCAUGUAAUAUGCAUCCAUUUUUCGCCAAGCCCCCAUCUGCUCUUUAUAUCUCUAUUUCUAAUGGAGCAGUUGGUAUUCUCCGCCGUUCAAUUUUCGUCCCACCUCCCCUAGUUUUUUUUGGUACUUCGUCCCACCUCCCGCUACCCACCGAUCCCCCGCUACUUCCCUCCCAACCGGUAAAAAAACGUCAAGUUAUAACGCCGUGUGAACCGUGACGGUUCAGCGAUAGAAAAACGACCUAAAAAAUCUACUACGGUUAACCUACGAAAUUACACCUGAUAGUACGAUCCGAGACAGAACCCCUAGCACCCGAAAAUCGUCGUGCCCUCGAUGCACUUGCCCGUCGCCGUCAUUCGUCCCUAUCGUCCCUUUCUACACGCAGCUUCCGUCCCAGCCGCUCAUCCCUUGUCCGCCUUCACCGCCGGUCAAUCCCUUCGACGCCGCCAUCCGAGUGCAAAUACAGGAAGAUCCCGUAUCAUCCGUCGCUGAUCAUCGGAUCUGGACAGGCGAUUGCAAAGUCAUGAGGAUCCCGCAUGAUCCCUCUGAGUGCCCAUGAUAUGGACCGGCGUGGGACGAAACAGGUUGGGCGUUUAUGUAAUUUAACCCUUACAAAUCCUAUUGCUAACCCUUACAAAUCUGGAUCUAUACUCCUGUUCACUCCUCGCCAGGUUGAUUGAGAAUCUGGAAUUGAAAAAUACAAGUUCCGUCACCAUUCAAUCACUCUGAAAAAGGAAAUUUACACCUAACUGCCGAAUAUGAUGAGGCCAUAUCUGCUUUGGUCAAUUUGUCAGUCCCAAAUUCAUUACUAUUUUUAUGUGAAUGCUUGCAGGUGGUGAGUCAUCUCUUUGCCCGGGGUCAGUAGAAGCAUCAAGUGGCAAUAGUCAUCUCUUUUACUUGCACAUAACUGACACCCAGUUUUCUUGCAGCUGAUUUCUACUCUAGGAGUUUGGGGCUAGUGACGGCCCUCGGAGACGGUGUCAUCAGUAGCAGCAUCUGCCAAGGAUCUCGAGUCUGCAGCUCACAACCGGAUCACAUGCAAAAAGUGACACAAACAAAAAGGUAGUUACGACACUUGAAUCUAAUAGGUUCCAUGCAGUAGUCAAGGUUUGUAUGCCAAAAGGAAGAAUGACAUUGGUGACCAUCAGAUAGUUGUAAUGUAUUAAGUCCAACUAUAGUAAACCAUACGGUAGAGUUGAACCUUCAAUAUGGAUGACCUGAAGCUUCAGUACUAUAAUAAACCAUCUGUGUGAAGUGAAUCAAAACAAAUGAAAAAUAAACUACUUAUAAUAUGAACUGAUCCAUAACAAAUAAUAAACCAUAUAUGGUUGAGCUGAAGAUUCGCAAAACCUAAUGCAUGAAAGGAACAGAAGUAGUACUAUAGUAGGUGCAAGUGGCAUAUCUACUUGUUUCACCAAAGAUCACAGGAACCGGCUCUUUCGCCAUGCCAGGAAGUUCUUUCGAUCAUUAGGAUGCUAUAUAUAUCCAAGCCCUAGGUAGUUACUUAAAAGUGCAUGAGUAUGCCAGUUAAGUGUGUCUGAUAACCUUGUUGAGAUGAUUUUGAGCUUGGGGAGCACCCUGAUCUCGAGUUUGCAUCUCACAUCUGCAGAAGAUCUCGAGUUUGCAGCUCACAACAGGAUCACAUGAAAAAAGUGACACAAGUAAACCAUCAGUCUGAAGAGAAACGAUACAACUGACCAAUAAACUACUUAUACUAUGAUAUGAUAAGGUUGAUCUGAAGCUUCGCAAAGCCUAAUGCAUUAACUCAACAGUAGGAGUACUAUAGUAGGUGCAAGUUGCAUAUCUACAGGUUUGACCAAAGAUCACAGGAACCUGCUCUUUUGCCGUGCCAUCAAGUUCUGAUGAUCAUUUGGAUGCUAUAUAUAUCCAAGCCCUUAGUGAUUAAAUAACAACAUAACAAAUAAAAACUGAUGCUAGAAGAUUGAUUGCAAGCAUGCUUUUUUACUGUAUAAUAUCAUGAAAAGGGUUUUCUUCGUGGAAAUACAGCAGUAUGACCAAAUGAUGAAUGUAUACGGUCCACAGAUAAAUGAUCAAAGAGAACAUCUAGCAGAGUUGAAGCCUCAUCCGAACUUCACUUCAGACAUAGGUCAUUAAUUGUCAGUAAUCUGUACUUACAUAGGUGCGUAUGGGUAAUUCAAGAAGCAAGGCGGUUGAUCAGCAACCAGAAGAGGACGUUACUACGGGUAAGCUGCAUUUCUAUGAGAAAGUACUACACAUAGGUUAUUCGCAAUCUUUUAUUAUCAUGUUUUGCAAGCCUUAAAAGCGUGAUAACUGUUGAAGAUAAUACUACGGGCAUGCUUAUACCUAUCAUAAUGUGCUACACAUGAGUUCUCUGCAUUUCUG
rnacentral:lncRNA from 1 species